rnacentral:rRNA from 1 species
GGUUGAUCCUGCCAGUAGCAUAUGCUUGUCUCUGAGACUAAGCCAUGCAUGUCUAAGUAUAAACGAAUUUAUACCGUGAAACUGCGGACGGCUCAUUAAAUCAGUUACAAUCUACUUGAUCGUGUACUACUACUCGGGUAACCCUAGUAAUUCUAGAGCUAAUACGUGCAAAAAAUCCCCGACUAUCCCUUCUUUCGGGAAGGGAUCGGAAAGGGAGUAUUUAUUAGGUACAAAAUCAAUGCGAGGUAUUCCAAACCGUAUCGGAGCGCCCCCCCCCUUUUCCGGGGGGGGGG